rnacentral:rRNA from 1 species
ACUCCUACGGGAGGCAGCAGUGGGGAAUAUUGCACAAUGGGGGAAACCCUGAUGCAGCCAUGCCGCGUGUGUGAAGAAGGCCUUCGGUUGUAAAGCACUUUCAGUAGGGAGGAAGGUAGUGUAGUUAACACCUGCAUUAUUUGACGUUACCUACAGAAGAAGCACCGGCUAACUCCGUGCCAGCAGCCGCGGUAAUACGGAGGGUGCGAGCGUUAAUCGGAAUUACUGGGCGUAAAGCGCAUGCAGGCGGCCUGUUAAGUCAGAUGUGAAAGCCCGGGGCUUAACCGUCGGAAUUGCAUUUGAAACUGGCAGGCUAGAGUCUUGUAGAGGGGUUAGAAUUUCAGGUGUAGCGGUGAAAUGCGUAGAGAUCUGAAGGAAUACCAGUGGCGAAGGCGGCCCCUGGACAAAGACUGACGCUCAGAUGCGAAAGCGUGGGAGCAAACGAGGAUUAGAUACCCCUGGUAGACUGUCA